rnacentral:rRNA from 1 species
UACAGAGGGUGCGAGCGUUGUCCGGAAUCACUGGGCGUAAAGGGCGCGUAGGUGGCGACCCAAGUCCAUGGUGAAAGCUCGAUGCUCAACAUCGAGUCGGCCACGGAUACUGGAUUGCUCGAGCACUGUAGAGGCUAAUGGAAUUCCGGGUGUAGCGGUGGAAUGCGUAGAGAUCCGGAAGAACACCGGUGGCGAAGGCGGUUAGCUGGGCAGUUGCUGACACUGAUGCGCGACAGCGUGGGGAGCAAACAGG